rfam:Gossypium hirsutum cultivar TM-1 unplaced genomic scaffold scaffold5336.1, whole genome shotgun sequence
CCUGGGGGAGCGUUUGUCCAUGUCAGCACAAAGCGCUUCCUUGAUGGCGUGCUUUGUGUUGACAUGGACAAAAUGCUCCCCCAGGG